rnacentral:rRNA from 1 species
UGGGGAAUUUUGGACAAUGGGCGAAAGCCUGAUCCAGCAAUGCCGCGUGUGUGAAGAAGGCCUUCGGGUUGUAAAGCACUUUUGUCCGGAAAGAAAUCCUUGGCUCUAAUACAGUCGGGGGAUGACGGUACCGGAAGAAUAAGCACCGGCUAACUACGUGCCAGCAGCCGCGGUAAUACGUAGGGUGCAAGCGUUAAUCGGAAUUACUGGGCGUAAAGCGUGCGCAGGCGGUUUGCUAAGACCGAUGUGAAAUCCCCGGGCUCAACCUGGGAACUGCAUUUGUGACUGGCGGGCUAGAGUAUGGCAGAGGGGGGUAGAAUUCCACGUGUAGCAGUGAAAUGCGUAGAGAUGUGGAGGAAUACCGAUGGCGAAGGCAGCCCCCUGGGCCAAUACUGACGCUCAUGCACGAAAGCGUGGGGAGCAAACAGGAUUAGAUACCCUGGUAGUCCACGCCCUAAACGAUGUCAACUAGUUGUCGGGUCUUCAUUGACUUGGUAACGUAGCUAACGCGUGAAGUUGACCGCCUGGGGAGUACGGUCGCAAGAUU